GAAAUGCGAUAAGUAGUGUGAAUUGCAGAAUUCAGUGAAUCAUCGAAUCUUUGAACGCACAUUGCGCCCCCUGGUAUUCCAUGGGGCAUGCCUGUUCGAGCGUCAUUUGUACCCUCAAGCUCUGCUUGGUGUUGGGUGUUUGUCCCGUCUCCGCGCGUGGACUCGCCCCAAAGUGAUUGGCAGCCGGCGUACUGGUCCCGGAGCGCAGCACAUGUCGCGCAAACGAGUGCCUUGGUACGGCGGCGUCCAUAAGCCCCUCUCUCACGCUCUUGACCUCGGAUCAGGUAGGGAUACCCGCUGAACUUAAGC
rnacentral:misc_RNA from 1 species